CAGAAUUCAGAACAGCCCUUACUCCUCAAGAAAUGUUCCCGAGAGAUGGCAGUGUCCUAGAUAGCUGAGGGAUUCCUUGCUAUUAAACGCCCAUCCUCUGCUCCACUCUCCCAUCUCCAGCCAUCUAAUGACCAGAAUCUACUCUGAGAAUAACAAAUGCUUCAGGGAACUUAUGAAACCAGAGACCCACAGAUACACAUGUCAGAGCAUAGAGGUCUUUCCAUCAUCCUCUUCCUGCUUUGGAGCCAGCAGAACUGAAAACAUGGGCCAAAAUAACCCUCUCCUCCUUCAAGUCACUGGUGUUGGGUGUUUGUCCCAUGGAUGAGAAAAGCGAUUAAAAUAGCUUGAAUGUGAAGACUGUGUAAUUUCAAGACGAUCAGAAAAAAAGCUUGCCAUCUGGAUGUCAUAAUAAAAUAAUGAAUUUCUGAGGCCUGCCUGGAGCCAGCGAACCAGGACAAUCACAGUGGAGCUGGCUACACACAUGUGAGCACAGCAUCUGAGAAGACACUGGGCUCAUUCUCGGCAUCCUACUGUUUUUCACUAUGAUGUUCCUUUGACCUUUGCUUGAAGAUCAUAAACUAAAUCUGUCCAGAGGCAGAUGUGUCAUAUUUGGGCAACUCUAAUAAUCAUAAACUUCUUCUUUCAAUCUCUCUUGAAAUUUGCUUCUGUAUAACUCUGAUUAGUUUCUUCUUGUUCUGCCCUGGAAACUACACUGAGCAUGAUCCCUUUACAUUC
rnacentral:lncRNA from 1 species